rnacentral:tRNA from 1 species
GGGCGUAUAGCUCAAUUGGUCAGAGCACUCGCCUCUUAAGCGAGGGGUUGGGAGUUCAAGUCUCCCUGCGCCUACCA